rnacentral:rRNA from 1 species
GACGAACGCUGGCGGCGUGCUUAACACAUGCAAGUCGAACGGUGAAGCCCAGCUUGCUGGGUGGAUGAGUGGCGAACGGGUGAGUAACACGUGAGUAACCUGCCCCCUUCUUCUGGAUAACUGCCUGAAAGGGUAGCUAAUACGGGAUAUUCUGGCCUGCUCGCAUGGGUGGGUUUGGAAAGAUUUUUUUGGAUGGGGAUGGGCUCACGGCCUAUCAGCUUGUUGGUGGGGUGAUGGCCUACCAAGGCGUCGACGGGUAGCCGGCCUGAGAGGGUGACCGGCCACAUUGGGACUGAGAUACGGCCCAG